ACUGGAAAGCACAGAAAGGAGAAUACUUAAUACUGAUAAGAACUAGUGUCCAUAUGUAAGAGUAUCACCAUGCAAGGGGUGAUGGGGCUAGGAAGGCUUAGCAUACAAUUUUUCACAAAGCAUAUUUACAAGAGCAGAAGAGCCAACCAAAAAGGUGAAAAUCUAGCUAGCCUAUGUACUUCAAUCAAUAAAAAUGGCCCAGCAAAAUGGAAGGAGCCCGAAUCGACCUGGAACUUGAACUUUUAAUAUUUGGGGCAAUGGAUUGAAGUUAUCCAUGCAUUUCAUUCCAGCUCCACCUGUGAAGAAAUGAGAAUGAGUCUAAACUUUAGAUUAACCAAACACAACAGUAUAGCUUACCAGAUAAAAGAAUGAGAGAACGAACUGCCAGGAGAUUGGAUCAAACAGAGUGUUGCACUCUUCUCCAUCUAUCAGAGGUCUCAGCUGGAAAAAAUAAAAAUCAGGCAAAACAACAAAGAAAUCAAAACAAGGAAGAAACAUUACUCGUGAUAGCUGAUACAGCAGGACAUGGAAGGAUUAAGCCAAAAAAGUUAAUGACCCAAGGAAGUAGUAUGAUGAAAGUGGAGUUAUCAUGCGGUGGCAACAUAACUAUAGGUGGGGGAUUGGAAAUGGAA
rnacentral:lncRNA from 1 species